rnacentral:rRNA from 1 species
CCCUGGUGGGUAGCUUCCCGGAAACGAAAGUCUUCCGGUUCCGGGGGAAGUAUGGUUGCAAAGCUGAAACUUAAAGGAAUUGACGGAAGGGCACCACCAGGAGUGGAGCCUGCGGCUUAAUUUGACUCAACACGGGGAAACUCACCCGGCCCGGACACCGUAAGGAUUGACAGAUUGAUAGCUCUUUCAUGAUUCGGUGGUUGGUGGUGCAUGGCCGUUCUUAGUUCGUGGAUCGAUUUGUCUGGUUUAUUCCGAUAACGAGCGAGACUCUAGCCUACUAAAUAGUAACGAGAUUAUCAAUGUCUCAGUUGCUUCUUAGAGGGAUUUUCGGUGUUUAGCCGCACGAGAUUGAACAAUAACAGGUCUGUGAUGCCCUUAGAUGUCCGGGGCUGCACGCGCGCUACACUGGCGAAAUCAGCGUGCUGUAUCCAUUCUCGAAAGGGAUUGGUAAACCCAUGAAAAUUUGCCGUGCUUGGGAUCGGAAAUUGCAAUUAUUUUCCGUGAACGAGGAAUUCCAAGUAAGUGCGAGUCAUCAACUCGCUCUG